AUUGAACGCUGGCGGCAUGCCUUACACAUGCAAGUCGAACGGUAACGGGCCUUCGGGUGCCGACGAGUGGCGAACGGGUGAGUAAUGUAUCGGAACGUACCUUUCAGUGGGGGAUAACGUAGCGAAAGUUACGCUAAUACCGCAUAUUCUGUGAGCAGGAAAGCAGGGGAUCGCAAGACCUUGCGCUGAUUGAGCGGCCGAUAUCAGAUUAGCUAGUUGGUGAGGUAAAGGCUCACCAAGGCUACGAUCUGUAGCGGGUCUGAGGGGAUGAUCCGCCACACUGGAACUGGGACACGGUCCAGACUCCUACGGGAGGCAGCAGUGGGGAAUUUUGGACAAUGGGGGCAACCCUGAUCCAGCCAUGCCGCGUGAGUGAAGAAGGCCUUCGGGUUGUAAAGCUCUUUCGGCCGGGAAGAAAUCGUAUCAGCUAAUACCUGGUGCGGAUGACGGUACCGGCAUAAGAAGCACCGGCUAACUACGUGCCAGCCGCCGCCGUAACAC
rnacentral:rRNA from 1 species